GUACCUGUAGCUCAGCUGGAUAGAGCACAACGUUGCGGACGUUGAGGUCGCGAGUUCGAAUCUCGCCAGGUACG
rnacentral:tRNA from 1 species